rnacentral:rRNA from 1 species
CAAUAGCGUAUAUUUAAGUUGCUGCAGUUAAAAAGCUCGUAGUUGGAUUUCGGGUGGGAAUGGCCGGUCCGCCGUUUCGGUGUGCACUUGCUACGCCCACCUUGCUGCCGGGGACGUGCUCUUGAGUUCACGCUCGGGACACGGAGUCGGCGAGGUUACUUUGAGUAAAUUAGAGUGUUCAAAGCAGGCCUACGCUCUGAAUACAUUAGCAUGGAAUAACACGAUAGGACUCUGGCCUAUCUUGUUGGUCUGUAGGACCGGAGUAAUGAUUAAGAGGGACAGUCGGGGGCAUUCGUAUUUCAUUGUCAGAGGUGAAAUUCUUGGAUUUAUGAAAGCCGAACUACUGCGAAAGCAUUUGCCAAGGAUGUUUUCAUUAA